AAGACAUCCAGCGGGAGAGGGUUCCAUUCAAGCAAGAUAGAAAAGGAGAAAAUAUAAAAAAUUGGAUACUUGGUGUUAUGAAUCAACCAGCAGCAACAGCAGAACAAUUGCAAUAAAGAAAUGACAUAAAAAACUGCUGAAAAACCACAUAUAUGAACAUGCC